rnacentral:rRNA from 1 species
GAUGAACGCUGGCGGCGUGCCUAAUACAUGCAAGUCGAGCGAACAGACGAGGAUCUUGCUCCUCUGACGUUAGCGACGGACGGGUGAGUAACACGUGGAUACCCUACCUAUAAGACUGAGAUAACUUCGGGAAACCGGAGCUAAUACCGGAUAAUAUAUUGAACCGCAUGGUUCAAUAGUGAAAGACGGUUUUGCUGUCACUUAUAGAUGGAUCCGCGCCGCAUUAGCUAGUUGGUAAGGUAACGGCUUACCAAGGCAACGAUGCGUAGCCGACCUGAGAGGGUGAUCGGCCACACUGGAACUGAGACACGGUCCAGACUCCUACGGGAGGCAGCAGUAGGGAAUCUUCCGCAAUGGGCGAAAGCUUGACGGAGCAACGCCGCGUGAGUGAUGAAGGUCUUCGGAUCGUAAAACUCUGUUAUUAGGGAAGAACAAAUGUGUAAGUAACUAUGCACGUCUUGACGGUACCUAAUCAGAAAGCCACGGCUAACUACGUG